UUGAACGCUGGCGGAAUGCUUUACACAUGCAAGUCGAGCGGCAGCGCGGGGGCAACCCUGGCGGCGAGCGGCGAACGGGUGAGUAAUGUAUCGGAACGUACCCUGUCGUGGGGGAUAACACAGCGAAAGCUGUGCUAAUACCGCAUACGACCUGAGGGUGAAAGCGGGGGAUCGCAAGACCUCGCGCGAUAGGAGCGGCCGAUAUCGGAUUAGCUUGUUGGUGAGGUAAAGGCUCACCAAGGCGACGAUCCGUAGCUGGUCUGAGAGGACGACCAGCCACACUGGAACUGAGACACGGUCCAGACUCCUACGGGAGGCAGCAGUGGGGAAUUUUGGACAAUGGGCGCAAGCCUGAUCCAGCAAUGCCGCGUGCAGGAUGAAGGCCUUCGGGUUGUAAACUGCUUUUGUACGGAACGAAAAGACUCCUUCUAAUAAAGGGGGUUCAUGACGGUACCGUAAGAAUAAGCACCGGCUAACUACGU
rnacentral:rRNA from 1 species